UACAGUGCAGCUCAGUGAUGGAGUGUUUUCCUAGCAUGCUCAAGGGCUCUGGGUUCAAUCCCCAGCACUGCAA
rnacentral:tRNA from 1 species